rnacentral:ncRNA from 1 species
GCAGAGUAGAAUAUCGAGCGUUAAGUGCCGGUUGGACGGGGAGUUGCCAAACGGACGAAGAUUUUCGCGGUUCGGUAUUCGCAUCCCGCUGC